UGCAAUUUAUAUUAUGGAUUUAAGCACAUCAUGACGAAGACUUUCACCUCUGAGUUUCCCCAUGUUGAGAGAUACUUUUGGACCGUGGCCAACCAACCAAAAAUUAAGAAGUUUUUGGGUGAUUUUAAGCAAGCCGAAUCUGUCCCAGCUGUUCAGUCUGCAAAGAAGCCUGCUCAAGCUAAGGAAUCUGCUAAACCAAAGGCCAAGGCGGAACCAAAGAAAGAAGCACCAAAGCCCAAAGCUGAAGCUGCUGAAGAAGAGGAAGCACCUAAGCCCAAACCAAAGAACCCUCUUGAUCUGCUGCCCCCAAGUAAGAUGAUUCUGGAUGACUGGAAGAGGCUUUACUCAAACACGAAGUCCAACUUCCGUGA
rnacentral:lncRNA from 1 species